AUUGAACGCUGGCGGCAUGCCUUACACAUGCAAGUCGAACGGCAGCACGGGAGCAAUCCUGGUGGCGAGUGGCGAACGGGUGAGUAAAGUAUCGGAACGUGCCCAGUCGUGGGGGAUAACGUAGCGAAAGUUACGCUAAUACCGCAUACGAUCUAUGGAUGAAAGCGGGGGAUCGCAAGACCUCGCGCGAUUGGAGCGGCCGAUAUCAGUUUAGGUAGUUGGGGGGGGAAAGGCUCACCAAGCCGACGAUCUGUAGCCGGUCUGAGAGGACCACCAGCCACCCUGGGACUGGGAGACGGACCAGAAUCCGACGGGAGGCAGGAGUGGGGAAUUUUGGCCAAUGGGCGAGAGCCUGAUCCAGCCAUGCCGCGUGCAGGAUGAAGGCCUUCGGGUUGUAAACUGCUUUUGUACGGAACGAAAAGGUUUGGCCUAAUAAGCUGAGCUCAUGACGGUACCGUAAGAAUAAGCACCGGCUAACUACGUGCCAGCCGCCGCUGUAA
rnacentral:rRNA from 1 species